rnacentral:ncRNA from 1 species
UGGUCCUAGCCUUAAAGUCAAUUAUCACUUAACUUAUACAUGCAAGCAUCCCCGCCCCUGUGAGAACGCCCUUAACCCCUGACAGGGGCAAGGAGCUGGUAUCAGGCACAACCAUCAGCCCAAGACACCUAGCCAUGUCACACCCACAAGGGACCCCAGCAGUAACCAACAUUGAAAAUAAGCGCCAGCUUGAUUCAGUUAAAGUAAAGAGGGCCGGCAAAUUUGGUGCCAGCCGCCGCGGUUACACCACAUGGCUCAAAUUGACUAUACCACGGCGUAAAGGGUGAUUUAAGCUACCAACUCACUGUAGUUGAACACUAAAUUAGCUGUUAAAUGCUUUUUACCUGGGAAACCCAAAAACGAAAGUUACUACACACAAACAACUUGAAUUCACAAUAGUUAGGGCACAAACUAGGAUUAGAUACCCUACUAUGCCUAACCAUAAACUUUUAACCCACACGGAUAUCGCCAGGGAACUACGAGCAAAGCUUAAAACCCAAUGGACUUGACGGUGCCCCAAACCCCCCUAGAGGAGCCUGUCCUUUAAAUCGACAACCCCCGCUUAACCUCACCAUUUUUAGCCGUCAGUCUGUAUACCUCCGUCGUCAGCUUACCGCAUGAGCGAAAUAUAGUGAGCCUAAUGUUAUAACCCCAAUACGUCAGGUCAAGGUGCAGCUAAUGAAAUGGGAAGAGAUGGGCUACACUCUCUAGCAUAGAGCAUACGAAAAACUAAUUGAAAAAUAGUUAGAAGGCGGAUUUAGUAGUAAAAAGAGAGCAGAGAGCUCUUUUUAAUAGGGCAAUAGGGUGCGUACACACCGCCCGUCACCCUCUUCAAAACCCAUUUAACAGUACCUAACACUUUAAAACUCAAUAGAAGAGAUAAGUCGUAACAAGGUAAGCAYWCCGGAAGGUGUGCUUGGCAA